AAACGAAUUGGUGUAAUAGUAACACAAUCGGCUCAUGCCCGGUAGAUAUAAGUGCAAAUCCUAUGUUCGUUUU
rnacentral:tRNA from 1 species